GACGAGAGAGAAUCAAACAACCAAUCGGCUUGGGAAGGGGCUGAGUGGGCCCUUGCUGGCUCAGCCUGUGAAAGGGAGGUGUGCAGAAACAGUGCAGUACAAUAACAUCAACUUUCAAGUGUGGGAUUUAGGUUGAAGGUAGCAACAAGAAGGGGCAAAAAUCACUCAAGGGUGUGCUAAGUUAACAAUACCCUUCCAAUGUCUUUGUUGUAAGUUGGUUAUGUGCUCAUCUUUGGAGAGAUGAAAUUUGUUAACGAAAAAGGAGGCUGCCAAGGUAAAAAGCAGCACACCCUAGUAGGCUGCCAAAUGCUAAGAGUCAACAACAACAACAAAAAUGAACAAGGAAAAGGGACAUAAACAAAUAUCUCCACUGGAAUGAUGAUACCAUUACUCUUUUCUAGUAAUACGGGAAAGACAAUAUAUACAUGUUAAGCUGCAUUUAGAAUUCGGAUUUGAUCUUUUUACUUUAAACAAGAACAUUUUGGUUA